CUGUCUUCUUCUUGUUAGGCCUACAUCGUACUCUAUUGUAUGAGUCUCUAAUAAGUGUCCUACAUUUGUUUCCAAUCUUUUCUUUAUUCGCGCAUUUUAGACCAACUUUUAUAACAAAGAUGGAAACAAACAGGAAGAGAGUUUUCUGCUUAACUCUCAUCUAGAAAAUCCAGUGAACAGAAGCUCCAAUCCCUUCUGAGUCUCCUGGUAGCUUGAAUCAACAUAAUUCAAAUUCUGAGCUCUCAAGCAACACUGAACCGGACACGCAAACCGUGGAGGGGACUCCAUCCUUUCUGCAGGGCCGAGGAAAAAAUCUUGCCAGCAGAGGUCACUGACGCUCCAGUUUGCGAUUUAGCAGCAGCCCAGGCAGGAGGCCAAUCCCGGUUUUCCGUGUGCCAACAAACUCCCUUUGUGCCGAUUAGAACUACACUCCCGUGCCCCCUGGGGUGGAAGAGAUGAGACUCAAGGUAACUGAGACAUCUAGUGUCCAGUCCUAAGAAAAACAAAUUUCCACCAAUUCUGGUUU
rnacentral:lncRNA from 1 species